rnacentral:rRNA from 1 species
CAAUAGCGUAUACUAAUGUUGUUGCAGUUAAAAAGCUCGUAGUUGAACUUCUGGUAGGAGUGUCCCGGCCUUUUUGUUUUUACAAAUUGUAUGCUGUGUGGCAUCUCUGGCCAUCCUUCUUCUUUGUUUAAAGAAGAUCUUUCACUGUAAAAAAAUUAGGGUGUUCAAAGCAAAAGUUUCUUUGGAAUAUAUUAGUAUGGGAUGAUAAGAUAGGCUCUAGAUGCUAUUUUGUUGGUUUGCACAUUUAGAGAAUGAUUAACAGGGACAGUUGGGGGUAUUCGUAUUUACAUGUCAGAGGUGAAAUUCUUGGAUUUUGGAAAGACGAACUACUGCGAAAGCAUUUACCAAGGAUGUUUUCAUUAA